AACGAACGCUGGCGGCAGGCCUAACACAUGCAAGUCGAGCGCGCCCUUCGGGGUGAGCGGCGGACGGGUGAGUAACGCGUGGGAACGUGCCCUUCUCUGCGGCAUAGCCUCGGGAAACUGAGAGUAAUACCGCAUACGCCCUUUGGGGGAAAGAUUUAUCGGAGAAGGAUCGGCCCGCGUGGGAUUAGGUGUUUGUUGGGGUAAUGGCCAACCAAGCGGACCAUCCAAAACUGGUUUGAGAGAAUGAUCAGCACACCUGGGACUGGAAACCGGCCCGAACCCUACGGGAGGCAGCAGUGGGGAAUCUUAGACAAUGGGGGCAACCCUGAUCGAGCCAUGCCGCGUGAGUGAUGAAGGCCUUAGGGUUGUAAAGCUCUUUCAGCUGGGAAGAUAAUGACGGUACCAGCAGAAGAAGCCCCGGCUAACUCCGUG
rnacentral:rRNA from 1 species